rnacentral:rRNA from 1 species
GAACAUGCAAGUCGAACGAGAAAGCCCCUUCGGGGGAUAGUAAAGUGGCGCACGGGUGAGUAACACGUAGGUAAUCUACCUUCGGGUGGGGAAUAACCCAGGAAACUUGGGCUAACACCGCAUAAUGCAGCGGCACCACAUGGUGACAGUUGUUAAAGCGGGGGAUUUUCGGACCUCGCGCCUGAAGAGGAGCCUGCGGCGGAUUAGCUAGUUGGUGAGGUAACGGCUCACCAAGGUAACGAUCCGUAGCCGGCCUGAGAGGGCGGUCGGCCACACUGACACUGACAUACGGGUCAGACUCCUACGGGAGGCAGCAGUCGGGAAUUUUGGGCAAUGGGCGAAAGCCUGACCCAGCAACGCCGCGUGAAGGAUGAAAUCCCUCGGGAUGUAAACUUCGCAAGAAUGGGAAGAAUUAGUAGGGGUUAAUACCCCCUAUGAUGACGGUACCAUUUGUAAGCUCCGGCUAACUCCGUGCCAGCAGCCGCGGUAAUACGGGGGGAGCAAGCGUUGUUCGGAUUUACUGGGGCGUAAAAGGGCGCGUAGGCGGUCAGGACAAAGUCAGUUGUGAAAUCUCCGGGCUUAACCCGGAAAGGUCAACUGAUACUGUGCGACUAGAGUGCGGAAGGGGCACUGGAAUUCUCGGUGUAGCGGUGAAAUGCGUAGAUUCGAGAGGAACACUGC